AUUGAACGCUGGCGGCAUGCCUUACACAUGCAAGUCGAACGGCAGCACGGGAGCAAUCCUGGUGGCGAGUGGCGAACGGGUGAGUAAUACAUCUGAACGUGCCCAGUAGUGGGGGAUAGCCCGGCGAAAGCCGGAUUAAUACCGCAUGAGCCCUGCGGGUGAAAGCGGGGGAUCGCAAGACCUCGCGCUAUUGGAGCGGUCGAUGGCAGAUUAGCUAGUUAGUAGGGUAAAGGCCUACCAAGGCAACGAUCUGUAGUUGGUCUGAGAGGACGACCAGCCACACUGGGACUGAGACACGGCCCAGACUCCUACGGGAGGCAGCAGUGGGGAAUUUUGGACAAUGGGCGCAAGCCUGAUCCAGCAAUGCCGCGUGCAGGAAGAAGGCCUUCGGGUUGUAAACUGCUUUUGUCAGGGAAGAAAUCUUCUGGGCUAAUACCCUGGGAGGAUGACGGUACCUGAAGAAUAAGCACCGGCUAACUACGUGCCAGCAGCCGCAGUAACAC
rnacentral:rRNA from 1 species